UUAAGAUCCUACAUCUGUAAUGUGUGGUGUAGUUCUGUGGCCCACAUUGUAACAGUACAGAAGAACAUCGGCUUGCUAUUUGGUGAGAUUUGUCAGUUGGAUUUGACAAUUGGAUUUGAGUUGGAAAGUGCUGGUCAAAGAGCGCGUCGAGCUGUCACGCCCCAGCGCCACCAGGAGGGGCUCUCCUCGCCCACCUGGCCUAGCUCGCCUAGCUGGCCGUUACCCACAAGGCACCUGGACAGGAGAGGGACCCGCAGGCAGGAGGGCCAGAGGGGGAAGAGUGAAGGAGUGUCAGCUUGACUGUUUCCAGGAGGGGAGGGCCCCGCUAAUCAGAAGUGGCGUAGCUACUCGGAGACACUGAGGAAAGGGGAGGGGAGAGAGAUGACACCUCACAGAUUUAUUACCUCGGAAUCUUCCAGGCCGAGCCGCCCCCCUGCAAGCCGUCAACGAAGCCCCAAACCUCCAGAAAACAGGCAAAAUAAAUAAGACUAA